rnacentral:misc_RNA from 1 species
GUGAAUCAUCGAAUUUUUGAACGCAAAUUGCACUCUCCUCGGAGAGUAUGCCUGCUUGAGGGUCAGCCUAAAAAAAAAUCGACACAGUCGCUGUUUCGGGGUGACAUUCGUCGGAAAUUGGUUAAUUUUAAACUUUUGGGUUUUAAGCGGCUUAAAAUUUUCUUUACGAUUCCACGAACGUUUUAAAAAUUUACUUUUUACACGUUUAAGGUAAUCGAUUUUUAUUAGACGUGGCCGUUGAAACGGAUCGCGGCCAA